UACGGGGGGGGGCAAGCGUUGUUCGGAAUUACUGGGCGUAAAGCGCGCGUAGGCGCUUUUCAAGCCGAUUGUGAAAUCCCCGGGCUUAACCUGGGAACUGCAGUCGGGACUGUCUAGCUAGAGUAUGGGAGAGGGAAGUGGAAUUUCAGGUGUAGCGGUGAAAUGCGUAGAUAUCUGAAGGAACAUCAGUGGCGAAAGCGACUUCCUGGACCAAUACUGACGCUCAUGUGCGAAAGCGUGGGGAGCAAACAGG
rnacentral:rRNA from 1 species